UUGAACGCUAGCGGCAUGCUUAACACAUGCAAGUCGAACGGUAACAGCGAGAGCUUGCUCUCGGCUGACGAGUGGCGGACGGGUGAGUAAUGCUUAGGAAUCUGCCCAGUAGCGGGGGACAACUCGGGGAAACUCGAGCUAAUACCGCAUACGCCCUACGGGGGAAAGCAGGGGAUCUUCGGACCUUGCACUAUUGGAUGAGCCUAAGUCAGAUUAGCUUGUUGGUGGGGUAACGGCCUACCAAGGCGACGAUCUGUAGCUGGUCUGAGAGGACGAUCAGCCACACUGGAACUGAGACACGGUCCAGACUCCUACGGGAGGCAGCAGUGGGGAAUAUUGCACAAUGGGCGCAAGCCUGAUGCAGCAAUGCCGCGUGUGUGAAGAAGGCCUGCGGGUUGUAAAGCACUUUCAGUAAGGAGGAAAAGUUGUAGGUUAAUACCCUGCAGCCUUGACGUUACUUACAGAAGAAGCACCGGCUAACUCCGUGCCAGCAGCCGCGGUAAUACGGAGGGUGCGAGCGUUAAUCGGAAUUACUGGGCGUAAAGCGUGCGUAGGCGGCAUGGUCAGUCGGAUGUGAAAGCCCCGGGCUUAACCUGGGAAUUGCAUUCGAUACUGCCAAGCUAGAGUAUGUUAGAGGAAAGUGGAAUUCCCGGUGUAGCGGUGAAAUGCGUAGAUAUCGGGAGGAACAUCAGUGGCGAAGGCGACUUUCUGGAUCAAUACUGACGCUGAGGUACGAAAGCGUGGGGAGCAAACAGGAUUAGAUACCCUGGUAGUCCACGCCCUAAACGAUGUCAACUAGCCGUUGGAGGAAUUUAA
rnacentral:rRNA from 1 species